rnacentral:rRNA from 1 species
GACGAACGCUGGCGGCGUGCUUAACACAUGCAAGUCGAACGGAAAGGCCCUGCUUGCAGGGUACUCGAGUGGCGAACGGGUGAGUAACACGUGGGUGAUCUGCCCUGCACUUCGGGAUAAGCCUGGGAAACUGGGUCUAAUACCGGAUAGGAGCCAUUUUUAGUGUGAUGGUUGGAAAGUUUUUUCGGUGUAGGAUGAGCUCGCGGCCUAUCAGCUUGUUGGUGGGGUAAUGGCCUACCAAGGCGGCGACGGGUAGCCGGCCUGAGAGGGUGGACGGCCACAUUGGGACUGAGAUACGGCCCAGACUCCUACGGGAGGGAGCAGUGGGGAAUCUUGCACAAUGGGCGCAAGCCUGAUGCAGCGACGCCGCGUGGGGGAUGACGGCCUUCGGGUUGUAAACUCCUUUCGCUAGGGACGAAGCUUUUUGUGACGGUACCUAGAUAAGAAGCACCGGCUAACUACGUG